rnacentral:rRNA from 1 species
UACGAAGGGGGCUAGCUUUGCUCGGAAUGACUGGGCGUAAAGGGCGCGUAGGCGGCUUGCACAGUCAGGCGUGAAAUUCCUGGGCUCAACCUGGGGACUGCGCUUGAGACGUGUGGGCUUGAGUGGGGAAGAGGGUCGUGGAAUUCCCAGUGUAGAGGUGAAAUUCGUAGAUAUUGGGAAGAACACCGGUGGCGAAGGCGGCGACCUGGUCCUUGACUGACGCUGAGGCGCGAAAGCGUGGGGAGCAAACAGG